CGGAAACUGGCCAACGUAUAAGUAGGCCGGAAAGCUACUACUUUAUAGAACGUCGCAACCUUUCUCUGUCUAGUAAUCGUCGGUUAGACAACGCCAGUCACUGGAUGCGUCUCUCUACACAAGGUCCAUCCCACACUCUGCGGCAGGUAAAGAAGCCUCCAGGUGAAGUAAUGGCGCGGUUAUAACUUCCCCUCUACUUUGUUCGAGCUGUUUAACGUUUUCGUAACUAAGUUCAUAGUGUCGAAAGCCAUCUUUAAGUCUCGACAUCAAAAAAAAAACACUAUUAUUCUUUCAUUGUUCCUGUAGAAUUUAAGGUGAAAUCUAUUCAGUGAUCGAAAAGUGCAAUAGACCGCGGUCACAUGAUUGUACAUACAACUACCUUUUUCUCUGACGUCAUCAGGUUCGUGAGGUAGGUACCCGCACUGAUAUACUGUUUUUACAAAUCGCUUUUCUCACUAUUUAUUUGUACAUUAAAUGUAUCUUUUGUUUGGCUUAGAAUAAAACGCAAAUUUUGUUUACAUGUUGGUGUUGGUUUAUUUAUUUGAUGUUUACCAAGUUUUUUGUUACAGUCACCUUACAGCCGACAUGCCACGACGUUUUUCUUUUUAUCUUCGUGUUUUCCUCCACCGUAAUGGCCGAAGACAUUAAUUAUGAAUCGACUCCUAUGCUAAAAUGUAACCUCGAUAAAACGAAUUAUUGUUUGAGACUACACACACACACACACACACUCACUCACUCGCAGAUUACGUUUCUUGUGUCUUAGCCGUAGGGAUUCUUCUUCUCCCCA
rnacentral:lncRNA from 1 species